CUCAGAAUCAUGGAUGAAAAUCCUCAGUGUACAGUGCAGACUGUAUUCUGGAAUCCUGGCACCGUGUCCUGGGUCUGAGGUAUUUCACCUGCCAACUUGCAACCUGAAAUGGCCACUACCACUGAUGACCUUGCUUCCCACUUGAACGAGAAC